rnacentral:rRNA from 1 species
UACGUAGGGUGCAAGCGUUGUCCGGAAUUAUUGGGCGUAAAGAGCUCGUAGGCGGUCUGUCGCGUCGGCUGUGAAAACCCGAGGCUCAACCUCGGGCCUGCAGUCGAUACGGGCAAACUGGAGUGUUGCAGGGGAGACUGGAAUUCCUGGUGUAGCGGUGAAAUGCGCAGAUAUCAGGAGGAACACCGGUGGCGAAGGCGGGUCUCUGGGCAUUCCCUGACGCUGAGGAGCGAAAGUGUGGGGAGCGAACAGG